AGCUCCAAUAGCGUAUAUUAAAGUUGUUGCAGUUAAAAAGCUCGUAGUUGGACCUAUGACGAGACGGAACGGUCUGCCGCAAGGCAGUACUGCUCAGUUGAGUCACUAUACCAGGGAACUGCUCAAAAGGCAGGGAACUGGGGAUUACUUUGAAGAAAUUAGAGUGUUUAAGGCAGGCUUAUGCUUGAAUACAUUAGCAUGGAAUAAUAAGAUAGGACUAUGGUCUUAUUUUGUUGGUUUGAGGGCUGUAGUAAUGAUUAAUAGGGAUAGUUGGGGGCAUUUGUAUUCAGUAGUCAGAGGUGAAAUUCUUGGAUUUACUGAAGACAAACUAAUGCGAAAGCAUUUGCCAAGGAUGUUUUCA
rnacentral:rRNA from 1 species